UAUUUGAAAUGAAUAGAUUUGAUAAAUUUCCACAAGAAUGUGACAGUGCAGAGGCAAUGAUCUUAGUGAAAACUGGAAGACAAACACAAUAGUAACAGAACAUGGGAGAUGAUUCAGCAAACUAAAAGCAUUAAGUUCCUUUGAAUAAUACCAAGCACAAAAUCAUCAAAGACACACAGUCUAGGUCAAACACAAAGAAU
rnacentral:lncRNA from 1 species